rnacentral:rRNA from 1 species
GUGGGGAAUAUUGGGCAAUGGGCGAAAGCCUGACCCAGCAACGCCGCGUGAGGGAAGAAGGUCUUCGGAUUGUAAACCUCUGUCCUUGGGGACGAAGGACGUGACGGUACCCAAGGAGGAAGCUCCGGCUAACUACGUGCCAGCAGCCGCGGUAAUACGUAGGGAGCGAGCGUUGUCCGGAAUUACUGGGCGUAAAGGGUGCGUAGGCGGCAUGGCAAGUCAGAUGUGAAAUCCCCGGGCUUAACCCGGGAGCUGCAUUUGAAACUGUCGUGCUUGAGUGCAGGAGAGGAAAGCGGAAUUCCUAGUGUAGCGGUGAAAUGCGUAGAUAUUAGGAGGAACACCAGUGGCGAAGGCGGCUUUCUGGACUGCAACUGACGCUGAGGCACGAAAGCGUGGGGAGCAAACAGGAUUAGAAACCCUAGUAGUCC